rnacentral:rRNA from 1 species
UCCGUAGGUGAACCUGCGGAGGGAUCAUUAAAGAGUUAAACAACUCCUAAACCCAUGUGAACCUACCUUUGUUGCCUCGGCAGGUCUGCAACUUACCCUGAGGGGACCUACCCUGUAGGGACCUUACCCGGUAGUUGCCGGCAUAACCUGCCGGUGGUCUACUAAACUCUGUUUACUAUGUUAUUCUGAAUAAUAUAACUAAAUAAGUUAAAACUUUCAACAACGGAUCUCUUGGUUCUGGCAUCGAUGAAGAACGCAGCGAAAUGCGAUAAGUAAUGUGAAUUGCAGAAUUCAGUGAAUCAUCGAAUCUUUGAACGCACAUUGCGCCCAUUAGUAUUCUAGUGGGCAUGCCUGUUCGAGCGUCAUUUCAACCCUUAAGCCCUGUUGCUUAGCGUUGGGAGCCUACAGAUACCCUCUGUAGUUCCUUAAAGUUAGUGGCGGAGUCGGUUUCACACUCUAGACGUAGUAAAUUUUAUCUCGCCUAUAGAUGAGCCGGUCCCUUGCCGUAAAACCCCCUAAUUUCUAAAGGUUGACCUCGGAUCAGGUAGGAAUACCCGCUGAACUUAAGCAUAUCAAUAAGCGGAGGA